rnacentral:rRNA from 1 species
UACAGAGGUCCCGAGCGUUGUUCGGAUUCAUUGGGCGUAAAGGGUGCGUAGGCGGCGCGGUAAGUCGGGUGUGAAAUCUCGGAGCUUAACUCCGAAACUGCAUUCGAUACUGCCGUGCUUGAGGACUGGAGAGGAGACCGGAAUUUACGGUGUAGCGGUGAAAUGCGUAGAUAUCGUAAGGAAGACCAGUGGCGAAGGCGGGUCUCUGGACAGUUCCUGACGCUGAGGCACGAAGGUCAGGGGAGCAAACGGG